rnacentral:pre_miRNA from 1 species
AGUGGAAUAGCUGGAUCAAAUGGUGGUUCCAUUUCAAGUUUUCUGAGAAAUACCCAUACUGCUUUCCAGGUUGGUUGCACCAAUUUGUAGUCCCACCAGGAAU